GGUAGAAUCCACAGCGUUGGUGCUCGCGGUGUGGUUCACACGCCGCAGUUCAACGGGAAGCAGGAGGUCACGCCGUUCGCACUGAGCUUGUCGAAGUGCCGAAUGGUCUGGCUAACCUGCGCUGCCCCCGCAACGGUAAGUGGACGCGUCGCAAGACGCCGCUUCCAUCACAGCCACUGAGCGUUCUGAACACGCGCUUGGGAAGGCGAUGGAGGUUGAUUCCACCAGCCCGGAUACCGGCCAACACGGUGGUUGCACG
rnacentral:ncRNA from 2 species